rnacentral:rRNA from 1 species
UACGGAGGGGGCUAGCGUUGUUCGGAAUUACUGGGCGUAAAGCGCACGUAGGCGGCUUUGUAAGUUAGAGGUGAAAGCCCGGGGCUCAACUCCGGAAUUGCCUUUAAGACUGCAUCGCUAGAAUCCGGGAGAGGUGAGUGGAAUUCCGAGUGUAGAGGUGAAAUUCGUAGAUAUUCGGAAGAACACCAGUGGCGAAGGCGGCUCACUGGACCGGCAUUGACGCUGAGGUGCGAAAGCGUGGGGAGCAAACAGG